UCAUUACUCAAGUAUCUAUUAUAUUAAAAUAAUUCCCCGACCGGUGAUUGGUCGGAAAAACUUUUAAAUCCCGCGGACGCUUUUUCCUUUCCCCGUCGACCGUUUCCCGUAGACUUGUCUCCUCUUUCCAUUUCGGCGGUCCGUUCGAUUUUCCGACCCACCGUUUUCCCGAUGCGACCGGAUGAAAAUCCAAGAUGUCCGACCAUUAAGCACCAGCCCAAUCGGAGCGUUCUGUACCUGUGCCCCUCGCGCCGCCGUGACGUUUCGCCCGCACGUGACGUCACCGAUCGGUCUUCCGUUUCACCUUACGUCCCCGUCGAACGGUUUAAAUGCCCGAAUCUUUCUCACGGUUCCCAACUCGAUAGGUAGGCAGGUCGUAGGCAUAGGUCCCGAUAGGUGGUUCCCCCGUAGGUCCCCAGGUUCGAUUCCGAGCCGUCGCCGCCCGGCUUCUUUGCAGGAUUUUCCGCUGCCGCCGUCGAUCCGUACGGGGCGUCGUUUCCGCUCCCGCGGAAUCCGUUUUUUUGUUUUCCGUCCGUCGCGUCCGAUUUUCGCCGCCGCCGCCGUUUGUUAUCAACCACCGCGGCCGUGUCUUAUCGACGGGAGUGUGUUGAUCCCGCUCGCGGUGUUUCUUUUCUAUUCAUUUUCCGCCGUCCGUCAAGUCCGUUUUUUUCUUUUUCGUUUUACCGAAAAUUAUUUAUCCGUUUUUCUUUACUCGUGUCGAUUUGAUGUGUAACGUUAUUGUUGAACGCUUACACACGGCUGUGAAACGAAGAAAACAUAAUGCGUUUAAAAUAUAGUAUGUUUUUUUUAUCAGCGUUAAGUACGUUCGAUACGAUUUGUUUUGCCAAACGAUAUAGGGAGAUAGCUGUUGUUUGAUUUAUUUAUACUUUUUUUGAACGGAAAGGAAUUGAAUUCAAACGGUCUUCGGUGCUAACGAUACUGUUCAAAACGUUCACAGCUGUAAAACAACGAGUACUCGUUAUGAGUGUUACAACAUCAGUCGUUACACUUGGACGAAAGGAAAUCAAAACUUUUGCGAUGUAAUGUAAAUAAGAAAACCCGGUGAGUUCUACCUUUUUUCUUUCCACUGUACAUGUUUUUAAAAUUUGUUGAUUACAUAAAUUUUUAUUCGUCUUACCAAAAAAUAAAAAGCAACGUGAUUGACGUCAAUGAUAUUUUUAUAAACACAAUCGGAUAUAAAAAGUAUGUAUACAAUACUUUUUAGAAUUCUGUUGUUCACGCCUAUGUUUAUUAGGUCUAUCGUUCGACUACGAUUUAAUCGUGUCUUUAUAUUACGUUAAAUGAUUGGAAAUUUGUUUUUUUUUAAACACGUUAAAUACAUUCAAAUUGAUUUAUUUUUCCAAUUCGUUAUGAAAUAAAUGUACCGAGUAUGUUGGUUCUCUACCUUUUUUGUAAAUUAUCUUUUUCGUACUACAUUACAUUUUACAUUAAUUACUAUUCGUUUUUCCAAAAUAUAUUAGAACAGAGCUUUUGUUUUACCGAGAAAUAUGAGGAGAUAUAGGUAAUCGGAUGUUUUCAUUACAUACACCUGCAAUAUUGAUUUGAUGUGAAAUGCUGUAAUGAUAUUAUAAAAUGCACACACAGCUAUAAAAUAAUGAAGUAAACAUGGAAUAAUGCAGUUACUACUUCGGUACUAAUGAUUAACUAAUAAAAACAAACACAACUAUAAACUAAAGAAAACAUGGUAUGCCAUGCAUUUUUCAACUCAUUCUUUCAAUUAUAUAUGUUGAAUGUUAUAUUUUCGGUUUGUAUAAAUAAAUCUUAUAGUAUCAGUUUUUACACUUGGAUGAAAGGAAAUGAAUAUAAAUUAAAACUUAUGUGAUAUUAUAAGGAUAAUAGUAAACCCAGUAUGUUUUAGCCUUAAUGUAAAUUAUUUUCUUUGUACAAUAUAUGCUUUGAAUGUGUUUUUAAAACUUAUUAAUUACAUUCAUUUUUUUUUUUUUUGAUUUACCAUAAAAUAUUAGGGGAGAGCUAUGGGAUGUUUUCAUUGAGAAGGAAUGUGAUUGACUUUACUGAUAUUUCUAUUAUCACAAACAGUUGUAAAAUUUAAAAAUCGAAUUAUAUGCAACACUUUUUAUAAUUCUUUUGUUCACAUUUGUUAAUUAAGUCUAUCGUUUGACUAUGUUUUAAUUGUAUCUUUUAAUUAUGUUAAAUAAUUAUAAAUUUGUUUUUUAAAUAUGUUAAAUUCAUUAAAUUUGAUUUAUUUUUUAAAAUAAUAUAGGGAAAUAGUGUUAGUGCGAUAGAUGUGUAUAUUGCAUACGCAUAUUUGGAUUUGGAGUUUUAUUGUUACUGCUAUGGCUUCGAGAUGUAUUUGGAGAUUGACUUGGUUGUUUUCAAUGUUAUCUUUUACGAGUAUAGCAACGCCGCCACUCGGUCUGAUAGGAUUUACAUGGUUUCUGCAAUAGUUGGUAUAGUUUUUUACGUGUGCAGUUUGUCUCAUUUUGAGAUUGGUUUCCUGGAGACGUAGUAUGCUGGAUUGUAAGUUGAAAAGGAUUCGUUGUAAAUCGGUGCUUCGUUUAUAGAAGCCAUAUAGAUUCCAUUGUAUAAUAUUGGUCAUUAUGAUGAGGGUAAUAGUAGUGGGUUGUUAAACUAGUGAUUUUGCUGUGGGCGUUGAGUGGAUUGAUUAGGCAGUAUUGUAUAAGGGCAUGAUGCGAAAAAGUAGGUUGGAUAGUUUGGUGAGCUUGGUUUUAAUAUUGCGGUCGGUGAGUUUGGGCCGAAUG
rnacentral:lncRNA from 1 species